UGAAGAAGAAUCAAAAUGGCAAUCAGCUCAUUUUGACCCCACCCUUUGGGUUUCCGGGGACCUACAACUGCACAGCGUCUAACACCCAGGGCAGCAACACCAAGUACUUCACUGUCAUCGAAGCUACAAGGAAUCGCACAACCUUUGCAGUCUUGGUUGGAGUAUUUGUGGUCCUGGGAGCCGUGCUCUUCAUUGGCGGUCUUCUUUUAUUGACACCUGAAGGAACAUUUUCUUUCAGCAAAGGCGGCUAUCUCAAAGGAAAGCCUGCCUGAUCAGGACCUGUGUGAGGCCGACUUUUUAAAAUGUGCAUGUUUUUACAAUGAAAAUGGGUAUUUGUUUUUAUGUUCUUGGUGCUUGGAGUGAUACAGUGUCAUGCCUCUUUAAGGCCUAGAGGCACGAUCAGUUUUGCAUGCUCAGUUUGUGGACUUCUGCUCAUGCUUGGCCGCUGUUGCUUUUUAACAAUGCAUAAUUGCAUCAGCUGUCUUCCGAGCUCAACUAAUCAAUAUUGUUAUAUUAACAAAGGGUACAUGCCUUCAAGAAAUCAGGUUAGUUGGAGGAACCAGGCAACCGGGAACCUGGUUACUGUAAAUCUGGGUACACAUGCAGCAGGUCAGUAAUCAGAUUCCUUCGACUACGCCUGACCUUAUUUUAGAAGUCUUUCUAACUGACCAGCUCAUUCUUGCUGUUUUGGUAGUUUCACUUUUGGUAUGAAUUUGCAUCUAAUUAUUUUGUAUGUCAUCGCUACACAUCUCCCCUUUCAUCCUGUCGCUCUGCCGAGGUACUUAGGUGCAUGCCAACGCACUGACUCAAUCAAAUGGCUGUUUAACCUAGGAGCAGUAACACCCCAACUCUGCAGCUCUAAAUCGCUUUUUUAGCUUCUUUUUGCUCCUUGUUUUGGUUUUGUGGCCCGCACAUUUGCCGUAUGUUUCCGUCUGAGCUGCUCUCAUCAACCUUGUAUCAACAGGAAGGUGUUUCCUGCAACAGCUCUGACAAACCCACCAUAUGAUGCAAAACAUGGGGAUGUAAUUUGAACAUGGAAAGACGCUUAAUUUUCUACUUACACAGAACUGAUAGAAGAAUAUAUAUUGGAAACAGUAGACAUAAUAAUAAUAAUAGUAAUGAUGCCAGAACGGGUCUGGACGGUGGGUUUCCAGCUUGUUGUAGAGUUCUCCUGCCUCCAUGUGGCUGCUUUGGGUGUGAAAAAAGUAUUUUUAUUACUUAAGCAAACUGAUGACAAGUCAUAACAGAUAUAUAAAUGUUUAUACUGAUUACAGCCAUUGUGGCCUUAUUACUUAUCCUUUUUUUUGUUUUAUUCUACAAGCCAUACGAGACCACAUUUUAAGGUAAAACCGGGUUUUUCUCCACAUGAUGUUUUUCUCCACUCAGGUAUAAUGUGUUGAUAUUUAUCACUACAUACUUUCCACACACUACGAUACUUAAGAGCGUCUUAAUCACUGCAAUGGGGGCACAAUGUUUUUUUAAUUAUUAUUAUUAUUAUUGUAUGAAUAAAUUGUGCUGAUUUCAUGUACUGUAAAAUGAUUCUGUUUUUAAAUAUGUCCCGGUACAGCGUGGUAAUGUUAUUUUUGCACUGAAAAGAGUGACCGUGCCAUUUCUGUCAUGUGCCUACAAUUUACAAUCAGUUGCUUAAUUAAAAUGAAUAUGAACCACUAAA